rnacentral:rRNA from 1 species
CAAUGGGCGAGAGCCUGAACCCCCCGAGUAACCUGCACGAUGUCUGCCCUAUGGGUUGUAAACUUCUUUUAUUACGGAAUAAAGUCAGAUAUGGAUACCCGUUUGCAUGUACUUUAUGAAUAAAGAUCUGCUAACUCCCUGCCAACAACCGCUGGAAUACGGAUGAUCCGAACGUUAUCCGGAUUUAUUGAGUUUAAAGGGAGCGUAAAUGGAUAUGUAAGUCACUUGUGAACGUUUGCGGCUCUGCCGUAAAAUUGCACUUGAUACUGGAUAUCAUGAGUGCCGUUAAUGCAAGCUGAAUUCGUGGUGGACCAGAGAAAUGCAUAAAUAUCACUAACAACUCCGAUUGCCAAGGCAGCCUGCUACGCUGCAACUGACAUUGAUGCUCGAAAGUGUGGAUAUCAUACACGAUUAGAUACCCUGGUAGUCCACACCGACAACGAUGAAUACUCGCUGUUUGCGAUAUACAGCAAGCGGCCAAGAGAAUGCGUUAAGUAUUCUCACUUGGCGAGUACGCAGGUAACGGUGAAAGUCAAAGGAAUGGACGGGGGCCCGCACAAGCGGAGGAACAUGUGGUUUAAUUAGAUGCUACGCGAGGAACCUUAAUCGGGCUUAAAUUGCAGAAGAAUUACGGUGAAAUCGGUAAGCCGCAAGCCAUCUGUGAAGGUGCUUCAUGGUUGUCGUCAGCUAGAGCCGUGAGGAGUUGGCUUAAGUACCAUAACGAGCGCAACCAUUGUCGUCAGUUUCUAACAGGCUCUGUUGAGGAAUCUGACAAGACUGCCAUGGUAAGAUGUGAGGAAGGUGGGGAAGACGUCAAAUCAGCACGGCCAUUACGUCCGGGGUUACACACGUGUUACAAUGGGGGGUACAGAGGGCCGGUACCAGGGGAGAGGAUGCCAAUCCCCAAAACCUUUGUCAGUUAGUAUUGGAGUCUGCAACCCGAAUCCGGGAAGCUGGAUUAGCUAGUAAUCGAGCAUCAGGCAGGGUGCGGUGAAUACGUUCCCGGGCCUUGUACACACCGCCAGUCAAGCCAUGGGAGCCGGGGGUACGUGAAGUCCGUAACAGAAAGGAUCGGCCUAGGGUAAAACUGGUGACUGGGGCUAAGUC